GACGAACGCUGGCGGCGUGCUUAACACAUGUAAGUCGAACGGAAAGGCCCUGCUUUUGUGGGGUGCUCGAGUGGCGAACGGGUGAGUAACACGUGAGUAACCUGCCCUUGACUUUGGGAUAACCUCAUGAAACUGGGUCUAAUACCGGAUAGGAGCUCCCGCUGCAUGGUGGGGGUUGGAAAGUUUAGGCGGUUGGUGUUGGACUCGCGGCUUAUCAGGUUGUUGGUGGGGUAGUGGCUUACCAAGGCUUUGAACGGUUGCCGGCCUGCUCGGGUGACCGGCCACAUUGGGACUGAGAUGCGGCCCAGACCCCUACGGGAGGCAGCAGUGGGGUAUAUUGUACAGUGGGCUGAAGCCUGAUGCAGCAACGCCGCGUGCGGUAUGACGGCCUGCGGGUUGUAUACCGCUGUCGCCUGUGACGAAGCGUGAGUGACGGUAAUGGGUAAAGAAGCACCGGCUAACUACGUG
rnacentral:rRNA from 1 species